rnacentral:lncRNA from 1 species
GAGCCGGGCCGGGGCCUGUGCGCGCGGAGGGACGGGUGGGCGCGCCGUCCCCUUCCCCCACCGAGAAUAACGUGACCCACUUCUGCCUGCCAUUCCCUCGGCAAAAUGUCUCCUUUUUGGGAUGAAAAGGAGUUGCCCGUGUUCGGUAUUGAACCACGAAGGACCUUGCCAUGCCCAGUACGGUGGCCACUGACCCCCCGCCGUUUGGGACGAUGGAGCCCACGAAAUGGGGCCAGUUUCAGUUGCGGUCCCAGCUGUGAAACGUACAUCUGAUUUUAAAAACUUCGGAUGAGAAAGAAAGUAAAAGAUGUCAUUGAUUGCUCAUUUAGAAAGUGGAUGUGUGGGAUAACAUGUCCAAUGUGUCCGAGGAGAGAAGAAAAAGGCAGCAGAACAUUAAGGAAGGACUGCAGUUUAUACAGUCACCGCUGUCAUAUCCAGGAACACAGGAGCAAUAUGCGGUAUAUUUGCGUGCUCUCGUGAGAAAUCUUUUUAAUGAAGGAAAUGACGUUUAUCGGGAACAUGAUUGGAACAA